GCCGGGCAUGGUGGUGGGCGCCUGUAAUCCCAGCUACUUGGGAGGCUGAGGCAGGAGAAUCGCUUGAACUCAGGAUGCAGAGGUUGCAGUGAGCCGAUAUCGGAUCACUGCACUCCAGCCUGGGUGACAAAGCAAGACUCUGUCUCAA
rnacentral:SRP_RNA from 1 species